rnacentral:pre_miRNA from 8 species
CUCCCGUGCCUUCUGAAUUGAUGUAACAGUUCUACUUCAAAACUGGCUCAGUUCAGCAGGAACAGGAG